AAGGGAAUAGCACAGUGGUAGCCCGAGUGCUUACCAUGCACGAAGUCCUGGGUUCAAUCCCCAGUACCUCUA
rnacentral:tRNA from 1 species